AGUGAACGCUGGCGGUAGGCCUAACACAUGCAAGUCGAACGGCAGCACAGUAAUAGCUUGCUCUUACGGGUGGCGAGUGGCGGACGGGUGAGGAAUACAUCGGAAUCUACUUUUUCGUGGGGGAUCACGUAGGGAAACUUACGCUAAUACCGCAUACGACCUACGGGUGAAAGCAGGGGAUCUUCGGACCUUGCGCGAUUGAAUGAGCCGAUGUCGGAUUAGCUAGUUGGCGGGGUAAAGGCCCACCAAGGCGACGAUCCGUAGCUGGUCUGAGAGGAUGAUCAGCCACACUGGAACUGAGACACGGUCCAGACUACUACGGGAGGCAGCAGUGGGGAAUAUUGGACAAUGGGCGCAAGCCUGAUCCAGCCAUACCGCGUGGGUGAAGAAGGCCUUCGGGUUGUAAAGACCUUUUGUUGGGAAAGAAAAGCAGCAGGUUAAUACCCCGCUGUUCUGACGGUACCAAAAGAAUAAGCACCGGCUAACUUCGUG
rnacentral:rRNA from 1 species